rnacentral:tRNA from 1 species
GCGCUCGUGGUGAAAUGGUAAACACGCUGGUCUCAGAAACCAGAUGCUGCAGGUUCGAGUCCUGCCGAGUGCA